UACGAAGGGUGCAAGCGUUAAUCGGAAUUACUGGGCGUAAAGCGUGCGUAGGCGGUUCGUUAAGUCUGUCGUGAAAGCCCUGGGCUCAACCUGGGAAUGGCGAUGGAUACUGGCGAGCUAGAGUGUGAUAGAGGAUGGCGGAAUUCCCGGUGUAGCGGUGAAAUGCGUAGAGAUCGGGAGGAACAUCCGUGGCGAAGGCGGCCAUCUGGAUCAACACUGACGCUGAGGCACGAAAGCGUGGGGAGCAAACAGG
rnacentral:rRNA from 1 species